rnacentral:rRNA from 1 species
UACGGAGGGUGCGAGCGUUGUCCGGAAUCAUUGGGCGUAAAGGGCGCGUAGGUGGCCUGCUAAGCGUGCGGUGAAAGUCGGGGGCUCAACCCCCGAUCGGCCGUGCGAACUGGGAGGCUUGAGCACUGUAGAGGCAGGCGGAAUUCCGGGUGUAGCGGUGGAAUGCGUAGAGAUCCGGAAGAACACCGGUGGCGAAGGCGGCUAUCUGGACCGUAACUGACGCUGAGGCGCGAAAGCGUGGGGAGCAAACAGG